AGAAGCUAUCAGAGCUGGAUGAUCGAGCUGAUGCCUUGCAGGCGGGAGCAUCACAAUUUGAGAGCAGUGCUGCCAAGCUAAAGAGGAAGUAUUGGUGGAAAAACUGCAAGAGAAUAUAUAUUUUAAACACCUGUAACUUUUCGGAAUGAGCUGAACAUUUCAUAAUGAGGACUGAACCAACUGACUGAAUAUCCAAAGUCUGUACCUUUAUUGGAAUUCUUUUUAAAGCCCCAAGGCAAAAGGAACUGAACAAAAAGGAGCCAGCUGCAGGUCCUGUGAUGUUUCUGAAAAGCUCCAGAUGUGGUGCUGGGGUUAUGAUCCUAUGAGAAGCAGAAAGGUGGGGCUCCUGAGUGAUGUAGAGUUUCUUCCACAGUCCCAAGGAUGGAGGAGGUUCUGUUCCCACUAGAAAUGUUCUGUUCCCCAAAUCCAGGAGCUCAUUUUUUUGUCUGUGUUUCCUCAGAUGAUGAUCAUGUUGGGAGUUAUCUGUGCCAUCAUCGUGGUAGUUAUUGCAAGUAAGUAUCGCUGAGGUUGCUGGUGGGGUGAAGAGGUGGGAAGGUCCUGGAGUCUUCUCCCAGCCCUGCCUGCCUGCCUGUCUGGGGAGUGGGGCUGCUCUGACUGAGGUAUGGAGACUGCUGCUGUGGGAUCAUCACCUGGUCUAGGAGGGAGGAAGGGAAAACACAAGGGACUUCCUUGAUGGACAAGGCGUCCCCUGCAAGAUGUUGUGGAGAGAUGGUCUCUCUUAAAGGAAGUGGGGCUGGGCGGUGCCUGUGGCUCAAGGAGUAGGGCGCCGGUCCCAUAUGCCAGAGGUGGCGGGUUCAAACCCAGCCCCGGCCAAAAACCAAAAAAAAAAAAAAAAAGAAAGAAAAAAAAAAAAAGGAAGUGGGGCUGUGUUAUUUGUCAUUGGCUUGGGUCAGAGGGAAACCAUGGGGAUGGGGCACCUACAACAGAAAGACUGGAAUGUCUAGUAACUUGAUGUAAUUUGCCCUCUUGUUUUCUCCUGUCUCUUUCUCUUCUCCAUCUGGGACUUCCUGAUUCCUGUGUCCAGUCUACUUUUUAACUUGAGAAUGUGCCACCCCACCCUGUUCUCCAUUGCCACCCGAACUCAUGUCCUUCUCCCACUGUCUGCUCUCUCAGCAAACUCCUGCAUCUGCCUCCCUCCAUCCCAGCCCGUGCUUCUCCAUUGUCCAAUUCCCCUUUUUGUUGCAUUCAUUUGCACUACAUCCCUUAACACUAGAAAUGCUGCUCGUGGCACAGUCUUAAAGUUACUAUCUGGAGAACAGCAGCUGGUACCACCUCCCACUACCUUCCUAUGUACUGUUGAAUCCCCAGAGCCCCAAAGAGUUGGAAGUCAAGGGAAGAGGAAGGGGAGUGACUGAGGUGAAAUGCCCAAGAAGCUUCUGACACUGGGGGAGGAGAAAGUAUGGUGCCCACUGUGUGCCCUAGAAAGGCCCAGCCACUGGCAGGAGACUAUGAACAGCUGGGAAGAUGGUGGCUCACUCAGUGCUGCCCUGGGCAUGUGGAGCUUUUCUCCUAGGCAAGGCCCGGAGAGGCUCAAAGUCCAACCUGGUCUGGGUGCAGCACCCUUGUAGAAAGUAAAACCUGUUUUUUGCAAUUAUUUCUAACCUAUAACUAAGAAAAUGCCAGGAAGGCUAUGUUAACCAGUGUGAUGAAAAUGUGUCAAACUGUUUAUAAAACCAGUGCAUGGUGCCCCAUGAUCACAUUAAUGUACACAGCUAUGAUUUAAUAAUUAAAAUUAUUUCUAACCUUUUAGUCUAAGAUUUUCUAUGUCUUUUUGCUCUGUUCUCUGUAGGAGUAGAGAACAAACAUUUGUGGAUUGUGAAAAAAUUGGGACUCUUGUUUCCAUCCUAGGACCAGUCCCAGUCCACAUUUUCUGUGCAUUCUGUUUUGUUUAUGAGCGUGCCGAAUAAUUUUAUCUAGCCAACAUUUUUUUUUUUUUUUUGGUUUUUGGCCGGGGCUAGGUUUGAACCCACCACUUCCAGCAUAUGGGACCGGCGCCCUGCUCACUGAGCCACAGGCGCCACCCCCACUAGCCAACAUUUUAUCUAGCCAAAUAAUUUCACUCUUGCCCUCUCAUUAAGUUGGGCCCUGAUUCUUCCUUUCUGCUGAUAAAGAAACCUGAAGGUGUUAGACAUGAGGAUCUUCCAAAUAGCCUCCUGAAUAUGGGGGAAAAGUGAGGAUCCAUGGACUCCCGUGGAGUCCUGUCCUCUACACCAUCCCCAUGGACUUGCCAAAGAUAGGGGUGAGGUGAGAGGUACUUUCUGAGGCCUGGCCAAUCCUGAGGAUUAGGGUCCAGAUUAGACCCCCCAGCUCCAUCUUGGGGGGAGGCAUGCCAGUCUGUGAUGGGUGUGCUUGUGCAUUGCUGUGCCGUCACAGGACUGUCGUCUAUAGCUCCUGUUCUUCCUGUCUCCUGUCCUAUGUUCCCCUUCGAACCACCCUUACCCACCUGAAAUCUACUUCAUCUCCUUUGUUUCCCUCUUCUUUGCCUGGUUUGCACAUACAGACAGUGGAACCUGAGGAUGGCAGCUGCUCAGCUUAUCUUGGGAGCCACUGCUGAGCUUCAGGAUAGGAUGUUACAUGGGAUAAACCCAGGGGUUAGGGGAGGAGGCAGGCCGGGAACACAAGGGGGAACACCCACACCCUUUGUUCUGUCCUCCAGUCCACACUCAGGAAAGGUUGAGGCCACUCUGAUCUGGGUCUUGAUGGCCCCUCUCCACGCAGCAGCAUUUCAUUGUACAGAACCAUCCUUCCUUUUCCUUCGCCCCUGUUUCCCAAACCCCCUUCGUCCUGCCCCAGGGCAGGACUGAAGAGCUGGAAGAAAGCAGUCAGUGUACCCUCCCAACGGUCCCCCUCGAAGGUCUCCACUCUCCUCUGGGCUCCUCUUUGCCUAAUGCAGGGGGUCACCGCUGGAGAAGAACCACCACUGUCCUCGAUGUGUCCCAAGCCUGGAGCAAAUCCACCCUCUUGGCCCACCCAGCCCUAUCACGGGAAUUACUUCCUGGGUUUCUGUCCCUCUGGGGCUUAACAGUCACAGUUGGCUUUGUCCUUUUGGGGGUGGUCAGUCCUUCUACCUUCUUUCUCACCCCACCUGUGUCCUCUUCUGUGUCCUUGCUACCCUCCUUUCCUCUCACCACCCUGUGCAUGAGUAAAUGUGCAGCUAGCCCCGGGACUUUGUAGUCAAAUGAAGCCAAGCUUCCCACAUCCCCUCCUUCAGUUUGCCAUGAGAUGAUGUGGGUUUCCACUGUGUGUCUGUCAUCAUCUCUUUGUCUUGUUUUCCUAAUCCCAAUCUCAUACUUGUAUGGAGUAAUAACAGUUGUACUUCUACCAAAGGCAUGUGGCAUAUUUACCAAUUUCAUGUAUUCCAAACAAAGGCAAAAAAUACAAAUUCCUACCA